GCAGUGUGUGGUUGCUCAAGUUUAGCUACAAGGCCAUAUAAGAGUCCUUCCAAGAGGAGGAUGGGGCGAACUUUCCAGCUAGAGUUUGACCUAAGGAAGGAUUUCAAAACUUACCCCUGCAAUGCUUUAACAGCAUUCAAGUCAAAUGGAGGCUUUUCAUACAGUGAAAUCCACAGUAGCUCUCUGUGGUAUGUAGGGCUACCAGCCAGAUAUACCUGAAAGCAAGCGCUUGCCUUGCUCUCCCUCUGCCACAGAACGAUGACACAGGGAUAACAAAGGGAAAUACCAGGGAAUGUCAAGUCAAACAAAUCGUAGAUCUUCUCUGGCGGCUUCUUUGACCUUGUUCUGAGUGAACACCGUGUACAUCAAGGAAGAUAAUUACAACUUUUUCAAGUCUUCUAAAAUCGAACUCCCUAUGGUGGCGACCAGUAUCUUCAAACUCAUACCAGAGUAAAGCCUUAUCCAUUUGGAGUUCUUUCUGAUGCAUUAUGUGAGAAAAACAAGCAAACAAAUGAACACUUAUUUGUAUUGGAAUUGCACUAAAUUUAUACAUGAAACUGAAAAAAACUGAUAUCUUUAUGAAGCUGCAUAAUCCUAUCCAAGGACAGACGUCUCCUUCCAUUUGCUUUUGCUUUACUAAUUUGAAUCUAUGUUAUUUGUUUUGGAUACAUCUGGAAUUGACUUUUUUGCAUGAUGUAAGAGCCAGCUCUUCUUCAGGAUAAGCAUGCCUGGUUUCUUCAACUUAUUCCACAAGAGUGAACAAGUAAGAAAUAACAGUUCUUCCUGGAUCAGCCCUCUCCCGUCUGUCAUCUCCAACAGAUACAAAGCCAGCUUUAAGAAGACCAAACCUACAAAAAUCAUUCAUGCUUUCUGCCUCCAUGUUUUUCUUUCCAACCUAGUUCCUCCAGAAAAUGUAAAAGAGCAACCGAACCGUCAACUGGUACAAUGACUUCUACACGUCAGACCUCGGCCACGCCACAGUCAUCAGAUUAUUCUAUCACAGGGUCUCUCAACCGUGGAAUAUGGUCUCCAAGGGAAACAAGCCAGAGAGGGCUCAGGAGCACUGCUAUAAAGAGUAGGCAAAUGGAAAUCUUUCCCCAAAGGGCACACUGGGAUUGUUAGGCGAGGGCUGCUCAAUCCAUUAAAAGUUUAAACUCGAAAAAAAAAAA
rnacentral:lncRNA from 1 species